GGUGGAACAAUACAGAGAAGAUUAGCAUGGCCCCUGUGCAAAGAUGACACACAAAAUUUGUGAAGCAUUCCAUAUAUAU
rnacentral:snRNA from 1 species